rnacentral:rRNA from 1 species
AGAACGAACGCUGGCGGCAUGCCUAAUACAUGCAAGUCGAACGAACUCUUCGGAGUUAGUGGCGCACGGGUGCGUAACGCGUGGGAAUCUGCCCCUUGGUUCGGAAUAACAGUUGGAAACGACUGCUAAUACCGGAUGAUGACGAAAGUCCAAAGAUUUAUCGCCAAGGGAUGAGCCCGCGUAGGAUUAGCUAGUUGGUGAGGUAAAGGCUCACCAAGGCAACGAUCCUUAGCUGGUCUGAGAGGAUGAUCAGCCACACUGGGACUGAGACACGGCCCAGACUCCUACGGGA